rnacentral:rRNA from 1 species
AUUGAACGCUGGCGGAAUGCUUUACACAUGCAAGUCGAGCGGCAGCGCGGGGCAACCUGGCGGCGAGCGGCGAACGGGUGAGUAAUACAUCGGAACGUACCCAGUUGUGGGGGAUAGCCCGGCGAAAGCCGGAUUAAUACCGCAUACGACCUGAGGGUGAAAGGGGGGGAUCGCAAGACCUCUCGCAGUUGGAGCGGCCGAUGGCGGAUUAGCUAGUUGGUAGGGUAAAGGCCUACCAAGGCGACGAUCCGUAGCGGGUCUGAGAGGACGACCCGCCACACUGGAACUGAGACACGGUCCAGACUCCUACGGGAGGCAGCAGUGGGGAAUUUUGGACAAUGGGGGCAACCCUGAUCCAGCCAUUCCGCGUGAGUGAAGAAGGCCUUCGGGUUGCAAAGCUCUUUCGGCAGGAACGAAACGGUCUUUUCUAUACAAGAGGCUAAUGACGGUACCUGAAGAAGAAGCACCGGCUAACUACGUGCCAGCAGCCGCGGUAA